rnacentral:rRNA from 1 species
UACGUAGGGAGCAAGCGUUGUCCGGAUUUAUUGGGCGUAAAGAGCUCGUAGGCGGCUUAGCAAGUCAGGUGUGAAACCUCCAGGCUUAACCUGGAGACGCCACUUGAUACUGCUAUGGCUUGAGUUUGGUAGGGGAAGACGGAAUUCCUGGUGUAGCGGUGAAAUGCGCAGAUAAUCAGAGAGGAACACCGAUGGCGAAGGCAGUCUUCUGGGCCAAAACUGACGCUGAGGAGCGAAAGCGUGGGGAGCGAACAGGA